rnacentral:piRNA from 1 species
UAACCUUGCCUCACAAGGGGUGUACGUC